GAACCCUUGGCGCAGCGGUAGCGCGUGAGAUUCCAGAUCUAAGGGCCCUCCCUUGCUGGAAAAUCCUCAAGGUCGUCCGUUCAAAUCGGGCAGGGUUCA
rnacentral:tRNA from 1 species